GGAGAAAAAUUUAGGUGUAAUUCCAAAAUGAUAACUUUUAAAUGCACACUUUUGUGAGUCUUUUAGUAGUAAAGACUUCCAAAAUAUGUCCUUAAAAUUAUUUAGUAAAAGGGAUCUCAAAACUAAAUACACUUUUCAAAUUAGGGGGCUAUAUGAUUCAUUAUUUUAGCACAAAUAAGAAGAAAGGAAAAAUAGGUCUCUGAUUUGGGGAUUUGGGGCUUAGGGUUUGGCUGUGCUUGAGGUUUGGAGCGGCUGGCCGAAGUUUGAUGGUGGUGAAGGCGAUGGUGGCUGCUGGGGUUUGUGGGUGGUGAAAGGCGACGGUGGCGGUUGGGUUCUCGGCACCCUGGGUUCUCUUCUCUGGCGGUGGCGCUUGUCUUCCUUGGCUCCGGCGUAGGCAUCUUGGCAGUGGCGUGAGUUCUUAGCAGACUGCAGUCUUUUGGCAGAGGGGAUACUUUUCAAAAUCCAGCUAAGAAUUGGACCCAUGAAGCAUUCUUGACCAGUUAUCAUCGGCAGCUAGAAUUGGAUAAACAAAAAUAUAUGAACAAAUAAAAGGCAAAGAGAAAAUCAAAACAAAAAAGAAAAAGUAAGGUAGACAAAUAAAUAAAGAAGCUCUCAUCCAAAAACCCCUUGUCAGUAGCUUAAAGACUCGACAUGACUUGUCUCCAAUCAAGGACUGUCGGUGUACCUAUAUAUAAGAUUAAAGGGUGAAAUAUUUAAUUUUAAGGUUGUGGAAUUAAAGGCCAAUCACCCGUGUCUUGGCCAUUCUCCUCACAUAUGCAUGAUGAUGUGAAUUGAUAAAUAUAUAUUAGACUAUUGUAUUUGUAUCUCUAUUUAUAACUAAUUGUUAGUUUUUAGACU